rnacentral:rRNA from 1 species
UACGGGGGGAGCAAGCGUUGUUCGGAUUUACUGGGCGUAAAGGGCGCGUAGGCGGCCACCGCAAGUCGACUGUGAAAAUCUCCGGGCUUAACCCCGGAAAGGUCAGCCGAUACUGCGGGGCUAGAGUGCAGAAGGGGCAACUGGAAUUCUCGGUGUAGCGGUGAAAUGCGUAGAUAUCGAGAGGAACACCUGCGGCGAAGGCGGGUUGCUGGGCUGACACUGACGCUGAAGCGCGAAAGCUAGGGGAGCGAACGGG